GACUGUGAUGGAUCCUCCUCAGAGGCUGUUUCUGAAAGGUCCGACGACGGUCUCACAGAUCUUUUUUGCACGAGCCGUUGAAGUC